rnacentral:rRNA from 1 species
UACGUAGGCGGAAGAUUAAGUCAGUGGUGAAAUCCUGCAGCUUAACUGUAGAACUGUCAUUGAUACUGGUUUUCUUGAAUUUAGUUGAGGUAGGCGGAAUGUGUAAUGUAGCGGUGAAAUGCUUAGAUAUUACACAGAACACCGAUUGCGAAGGCAGCUUACUAGACUAUGAUUGACGCUGAGGUACGAAAGCGUGGGGAGCGAACAGGAUUAGAUACCCUGGUAGUCC